rnacentral:rRNA from 1 species
AGCCUGACGCAGCGACGCCGCGUGGGGGAUGACGGCCUUCGGGUUGUAAACCUCUUUCAGCAGGGACGAAGCGAAAGUGACGGUACCUGCAGAAGAAGCACCGGCCAACUACGUGCCAGCAGCCGCGGUAAUACGUAGGGUGCAAGCGUUGUCCGGAAUUAUUGGGCGUAAAGAGCUCGUAGGCGGUUCGUCGCGUCGGCUGUGAAAACCCGAGGCUCAACCUCGGGCCUGCAGUCGAUACGGGCGGACUUGAGUUCGGCAGGGGAGACUGGAAUUCCUGGUGUAGCGGUGAAAUGCGCAGAUAUCAGGAGGAACACCGGUGGCGAAGGCGGGUCUCUGGGCCGAAACUGACGCUGAGGAGCGAAAGCGUGGGGAGCGAACAGGAUUAGAUACCCUGGUAGUCCACGCCGUAAACGUUGGGCGCUAGGUGUGGGGCUCAUUCCACGAGUUCCGUGCCGCAGCUAACGCAUUAAGCGCCCCGCCUGGGGAGUACGGCCGCAAGGCUAAAACUCAAAGGA